rnacentral:rRNA from 1 species
UAGGGAAUCUUCGGCAAUGGACGAAAGUCCGACCGAGCAACGCCGCGUGAGUGAAGAAGGUUUUCGGAUCGUAAAACUCUGUUGUUAGAGAAGAACAAGGACGUUAGUAACUGAACGUCCCCUGACGGUAUCUAACCAGAAAGCCACGGCUAACUACGUGCCAGCAGCCGCGGUAAUACGUAGGUGGCAAGCGUUGUCCGGAUUUAUUGGGCGUAAAGCGAGCGCAGGCGGUUUCUUAAGUCUGAUGUGAAAGCCCCCGGCUCAACCGGGGAGGGUCAUUGGAAACUGGGAGACUUGAGUGCAGAAGAGGAGAGUGGAAUUCCAUGUGUAGCGGUGAAAUGCGUAGAUAUAUGGAGGAACACCAGUGGCGAAGGCGGCUCUCUGGUCUGUAACUGACGCUGAGGCUCGAAAGCGUGGGGAGCAAACAGG